UACGGAGGGUGCAAGCGUUAUCCGGAUUCACUGGGUUUAAAGGGUGCGUAGGCGGGUUGGUAAGUCCGUGGUGAAAUCCCCAAGCUUAACUUGGGAACUGCCGUGGAUACUAUCAAUCUUGAAUAUCGUGGAGGUAAGCGGAAUAUGUCAUGUAGCGGUGAAAUGCUUAGAUAUGACAUAGAACACCGAUAGCGAAGGCAGCUUGCUACACGAGUAUUGACACUGAGGCACGAAAGCGUGGGGAUCAAACAGG
rnacentral:rRNA from 1 species